GGGUCGCCGCGUGCCGGCCGGG
rnacentral:siRNA from 1 species